UACGGGGGGGGCAAGCGUUGUUCGGAAUUAUUGGGCGUAAAGGGCUCGUAGGCGGCCAUCUAGGUCAUACGUGAAAUCCCUCGGCUUAACCGGGGAACUGCGUCUGAUACUGGAUGGCUUGAGUUCGGGAGAGGGAUGCGGAAUUCCAGGUGUAGCGGUGAAAUGCGUAGAUAUCUGGAGGAACACCGGUGGCGAAGGCGGCAUCCUGGACCGAUACUGACGCUGAGGAGCGAAAGCCAGGGGAGCAAACGGG
rnacentral:rRNA from 1 species